AAUCAACGCUGGCGGCGUGCCUCAGACAUGCAAGUCGAACGAUUAAAGCUCUCUUCGGAGAGUGCAUAGAGUGGCGCACGGGUGAGUAACACGUAAGUAAUCUACCUUCGAGUGGGGAAUAACGUCCGGAAACGGACGCUAAUACCGCAUAAUGCAGCGGCAUCGCAAGAUGACAGUUGUUAAAGGAGCAAUUCGCUUGAAGAGGAGCUUGCGGCAGAUUAGCUAGUUGGUAAGGUAAUGGCUUACCAAGGCUACGAUCUGUAACCGGUCUAAGAGGACGGUCGGUCACACUGACACUGAAUAACGGGUCAGACUCCUACGGGAGGCAGCAGUCGGGAAUUUUGGGCAAUGGGCGAAAGCCUGACCCAGCAACGCCGCGUGAAGGAUGAAGUAUUUUCGGUAUGUAAACUUCGAAAGAAUGGGAAGAAU
rnacentral:rRNA from 1 species